GAUGAACGCUGGCGGCGUGCCUAAUACAUGCAAGUCGAACGAGGUGCUUUUGUAGCUUUCGGAUGACUUCUUAGUGGCGAACGGGUGAGUAACGCGUUGGUGACCUACCCCGAAGAACGGGAUAACAGUUCGAAAGGACUGCUAAUACCGUAUGAAGUCAUGAGGAUUAGAGGCCUCAUGAAAAAAAGGAGCAAUCCGCUUUGGGAGGGGCCUGCGUCCCAUCAGCUAGUUGGUAAGGUAAAGGCUUACCAAGGCGAUGACGGGUAGGGGACCUGAGAGGGUGGCCCCCCACACUGGAACUGAAACACGGUCCAGACACCUACGGGUGGCAGCAGUAGGGAAUAUUGCUUAAUGGGCGAAAGCCUGAAGCAGCAACGCCGCGUGUGUGAAGAAGGCCUUCGGGUUGUAAAACACUUUUUGAGGGGAUGAGGAAGGACAGUACCCUCAGAAUAAGCCUCGGCUAACUACGUGCCAGCAGCCGCGGUAAAACGUAGGAGGCGAGCGUUAUCCGGAUUUACUGGGCGUAAAGCGCGUGUAGGCGGCACGGCAAGUUGGAUGUGAAAGCUCCCGGCUUAACUGGGAGAGGUCGUUCAAAACUGCCGAGCUAGAGUGCGGGAGAGGGAGGUGGAAUUCCGGGUGUAGUGGUGAAAUGCGUAGAUAUCCGGAGGAACACCAGUGGCGAAAGCGGCCUCCUGGCCCGCAACUGACGCUCAGACGCGAAAGCUAGGGUAGCAAACGGGAUUAGAGACCCCGGUAGUCCUAGCUGUAAACGAUGUAGACUUGGCGUUGGUGGGUUCAAAUCCAUCAGUGCCGGAGCAAACGCGUUAAGUCUACCGCCGGGGGACUACGGCCGCAAGGUUAAAACUCAAAGGAAUUGACGGGGGCCCGCACAAGCAGCGGAGCGUGUGGUUUAAUUCGAUGCUACACGAAGAACCUUACCAGGGUUUGACAUGUUGGUGGUAGAGAACUGAAAAGGGACCGACCGGGGUUCUUCGGGGAGCCAACACAGGUGCUGCAUGGCUGUCGUCAGCUCGUGUCGUGAGAUGUUCGGUUAAGUCCGCUAACGAGCGCAACCCUCGCCGUGUGUUAUAAACCCGUGAGGGUGCACUCACGCGGGACCGCCGGUCUUAAGCCGGAGGAAGGUGGGGAUGACGUCAAGUCAGCAUGGCCUUUAUGUCCUGGGCUACACACACGCUACAAUGGCCAGUACAAUUGGUUGCGAAACCGCGAGGUGGAGCCAAUCCUGUAAAAGCUGGCCUCAGUUCAGAUUGUAGGCUGCAACUCGCCUGCAUGAAGAUGGAGUUGCUAGUAACCGCAGGUCAGCCAUACUGCGGUGAAUACGUUCCC
rnacentral:rRNA from 1 species